CAGUAGCCGCGGUAAUACGAAGGGUGCAAGCGUUAAUCGGAAUUACUGGGCGUAAAGCGUGCGUAGGCGGUGAGUUAAGUCUGCUGUGAAAUCCCCGGGCUCAACCUGGGAAUGGCAGUGGAUACUGGCUCGCUAGAGUGUGUCAGAGGAUGGUGGAAUUCCCGGUGUAGCGGUGAAAUGCGUAGAGAUCAGGAGGAACAUCAGUGGCGAAGGCGGCCAUCUGGGACAACACUGACGCUGAGGCACGAAAGCGUGGGGAGCAAACAGGAUUAGAUACCCGUGUAGUCCCUGUCUCUUAUAC
rnacentral:rRNA from 1 species